CAUUAACAAAAUGUCAUUAAAGGCUAUGUUUGUACUAGUGCGAAGAGCGUGUCAACAACUUUAUAAAUAUAAAAAUAAAAUACACAGAAAGGUACCUUAGAAAUUUUUGAAUAGAUUCCUUAGUCAACUCUUGAGUUGAAUAAACUAAUAUUUGUAUAUCACUAAUAUAUGUAUAUAUAGAUUGUUCAACAUUCUAAAUCUAAAUAAAGUAACAUUUUUUUUUUGAGUUACCAGUAGAAUGCGAUUUCGCUAACGAAAAACAAAGAGAAAGAUCUCAUUCAAAGAGAAAGAUAUCAAAUAUCUAGAGUUUCUACUGGUUGUUGAUAAUACUUCACAAGUAGAAAUGUCAGAGUUAUACAAAUUCGCAAAGAGUAAGCAAAUUGUAGGUCAACUAACUAAAUCUUUAAUGACAAUAAUAAAGAUAUACACCAUGAAUAACAAUUUUUUGAAACUCUGGCUCUUAUAACUUCAAGCAACACUUUAGGGAAUGACUUGGGGGAGAAAGAAAGUAAAGCACGCGUAACAUGGUUAAGACAUAAAAUAAAAAUAUGAGACUGACUCCUCACAUCUAGCUCCCUUGCUAUCCAUCUCGUCUCAGAACACAGUACAUGCAGUCAACCUGUUGUAAGGGUGAGCGUCGUCAUCGCUUGCUCACAUAUAGGACUAGCCCACCAAUGCGAGGUUUGAAAUCACUAAACCCUUGACAUAUGCUCCAAGCCGCUAAUUCCCUUCUCGGAAUCCAAUGUCUCCACGCAAGCUAAAUCGCCUGAAGUACAAUUGUAGAGUAUAGUAAUUUAGCAACGAAGCAACAAUAGUGAUGAAAGAUGUAUUUUAUGCUAUGAUAUUAACGUAUUUUUGAUAAAGUAGUAUGAGGUUCACAACCAAAACCAAUUUGCAAUGAAUGGAGAGGCCUAAACCCUUAUAAACCCACAAACAAUAUCCCAUAUUCCCGAUGUGGGAUUCAUAUCUUAACACGCCCUCGCAUGUAUGGCAAAUUUUGAAGCCUAACACGUGGACAACAUUUUAGGUGACGUGGAGUGCGUGUGGCCUUGUGGCCUUUGGGCUUCACACGUGGACAUGGGUAACCCGCUCUGAUACCAUGAUAAAGUAGUCUAGGGUUCACAUCUAAAACCAAUUGGCAAUGAAUGGAGAGGCCCAAACCCUAAUAAACCCCUUUUAGCUAAGUUAUGUCCUUAAUAACACCAUUUCUAAUUUGUUUCAGUGUUGUAGGUCAAAAGAGGCAACAUUACACAAAAGAAGGCUAAAAUGCAAGAAUUGAGAGGAAUCCUGGUCAAAGGAGGAUUCCCAGUGCAACAAAGAGUCUCAAUGAGUUGCAGAAAUGAGUAAAUCAAAGGAUAAGUCGUUUGGGAAACUUUCCUGUUUCGAAACGGGAAACUUGCUAUUUCAUUUAAGAAACUUUCUUAUUUUGAUUUAGGAAACUUAUUACUUAUGAAGUUUUCAUGUUUUGACUUUUCUUAUUCAUUUUGAGAAACUUUCUUUCCUCAUGAGACAAAGAAGCCAUGUGAAGCUAGAAACCCUAACCCAACAUGAAAGAGGAUUUCUUUUGGACGUGUAUAAGAAGGGACGACAAAUCCCUUGGGAUUUUACCGUGAUCAAGGGAUUCUAGGGUUAGAAAAUCGUCCUAAAUCAAGGGAUUUUGCGUGCAAUAUAAAUCA
rnacentral:lncRNA from 1 species